rnacentral:rRNA from 1 species
ACGGAGGGUGCGAGCGUUAAUCGGAAUUACUGGGCGUAAAGCGCGCGUAGGCGGUUUUGUAAGUCGGAUGUGAAAGCCCCGGGCUCAACCUGGGAAUUGCAUUCGAAACUACAUGACUAGAGUAUGGGAGAGGGAAGUGGAAUUUCCGGUGUAGCGGUGAAAUGCGUAGAUAUCGGAAGGAACACCAGUGGCGAAGGCGACUUCCUGGACCAAUACUGACGCUCAGGUGCGAAAGCGUGGGGAGCAAACAGG